UAGGGAAUAUUGCGCAAUGGGCGAAAGCCUGAUCCAGCCAUGCCGCGUGUGUGAAGAAGGUCUUCGGAUUGUAAAGCACUUUAAGUUGGGAGGAAGGGUUGUAGAUUAAUACUCUGCAAUUUUGACGUUACCGACAGAAUAAGCACCGGCUAACUCUGUGCCAGCAGCCGCGGUAAUACAGAGGGUGCAAGCGUUAAUCGGAAUUACUGGGCGUAAAGCGCGCGUAGGUGGUUUGUUAAGUUGGAUGUGAAAUCCCCGGGCUCAACCUGGGAACUGCAUUCAAAACUGACUGACUAGAGUAUGGUAGAGGGUGGUGGAAUUUCCUGUGUAGCGGUGAAAUGCGUAGAUAUAGGAAGGAACACCAGUGGCGAAGGCGACCACCUGGACUAAUACUGACACUGAGGUGCGAAAGCGUGGGGAGCAAACAGGAUUAGAUACCCCCGUAGUCCCUGAGCGGGCUGGCAAGGCGCAU
rnacentral:rRNA from 1 species